CAGGUUUAAUGCCACUGGUCAGCUGGCUUUUGGAGAUCAAGUAACUGCUGUAUGUGAUCAUUAUGGUAGAGAAGAUGACUAUAAGAAAUGUAAGUGGUCUUUGGCAUAGCUGUCUGACUUGCUUUGGCCAAUGAGACUGGAACAAAUGUGAUGCAAACGGAAACCUGUCAAGCCCUUGCAUGUUGGGGCUUGCCUUCUUUUUUCCUGUUCUGGACCAGCUUCCAUGUUGAUGAAGCCUGACUAACCUGCUGGAGACACACGGCCCACUAGCAAUCGGCAGCAGCUCCAAGACAUGUAAGACCAGCUGAGACCAGCAUCUUUCAGCCAAUCUGUCAAACCGCCAGACCAACUGCAAACACAUGGAUGAGCCCAGCUGACAUGCAGAUCCUACAAGAAGUUUGAGUUUCAGUCAGCAAGAAGGAAUGAGGAGGGCACUCCAGGCAGAAGACACAACGUGAACAAAGGCGCAAAGGUAGGAAUGAGCACGGCUUGGGAACAGGAAAGGGAGAAGGAUGGCCUGAAAAGCCAAGCAAAAGAGCUCAAAUCUAAUCAAGAGACAGGAGACUGGCCUGAUGAUGAAAACAGUGUAGGGGGAAUCAGAUCUUGCAGUAUGUGCUGCUCCACUCAAGGGGACUUCCCAAAGCUAUCUAUACAUAGCUAUACAUAUCUAUCUAUAGUUCUCAUUGGGUGUUGGCAAUGAAACAAGAUGUUAGAUAGGUCAAA